rnacentral:lncRNA from 1 species
UUCUGAGCCGCAAACAAGAUAUGGGUCUAUGUGGUUUCUAGCAAUGAGACGGUUUCCCCAUCUAGUUGACCUUUCGUGAUGUGGCAAGUUUCGUUUACCUUUUAGCCAUCAGUCACUGAUCAGUCUCCACUUCUGCUACUCAAGUUUGUUAAUGAGGGGGCUUUCUUUUUUUUUUUUUUUUUUUUNUUUUUUUUUUUUUUUUGUAUUUUGUAUUUUGUAGGUCUGCUCCCGCAGCAUAUGGAGGUUCCCAGGCUAGGGUUCGAAUCGGAGCUGUUGCUGCUGGCGUACACCACAGCCCCAGCAACUCGGGAUCCGAGCCGCCUCUGCGACCUACACCACAGGUCAUGGCAACGCUGGAUCUUUAGCCCACUGAGCAAGGCCAGGGAUUGAACCCACAACUUUAUGGUUCCUAGUCAGAUUCGUUAACCACUGAACCACGAUGGGAACUCCAAUGAGGGGGCUUUCUAAUCUCAUAAGAUGGCAUUAAUUUUUUGUCCCUAAAAUGCUUGUUUCUAGAAACAACUUCACUUUCAUGAUUAUCAAGUCUGGUUAACGUAGGGUCAUGACAUAUAUGUGCACAAAGAGAAAUGAGAAGUUGAAUUCUAGACCAAAAAGCCUUAGCAUCUUUGUGUUGUCAAAUACCAUUCUAGUUGAUUAUGUGGCUGAGGUAUGCAAAUAGUUUUCUCGCAUGUUCUCGACUUUGCUGUGCUCUGCCAAGGUCAUCAUUGCUUUGCUCAGUUGAGGUGCUAUGUUUUGGAAUUGCCACCAAAACCCUUUUUUGAGUUGAGAUAGGCUAGGGACUUGGAGUGAAACCUAAGAGUCAAGGAGUUCUGGGAAAAUUAUAAAUAGGCAUAGAAUGUCCUGGGUAAUUCUGUGGUAGAGGAAUUAAUUCUGAACACUAGGUACUAUUAAGAACUCGAUGGCCAAUUAAAUAGACGGAAAUUUUUUCAGAUGCUGCCAGAGUUUAGAAACCACCCAGUGUGUCAUAGCUUCAGGGAGCAAAAUGAAAUCACACUGCUUACCUUAACGCUCCAUCCAAACAAGAGAAAAUGAAGAAACACUUAAAAGUCUGAAUCCAGCUAAUCCUGGAGGCCACUGGUCCUGGGCUAACAGAAACCAAAGACGGUAACUGGGUGGUUGUUUGGGGAAAGAAAUCACAGGCUCACCAACCUGAAAGGGUCUUUAAACUUGGUGGAAUGAUGUUAUGAUUUUGUGGUACCCAUGAAAGUAAAUCCUUUCUUUGACAUAAUACUUUAUAGCUUACUGAAUGUGUUCACAUUUACAUUCUUAUUAAGCAACCCUGGGACACUGGCAAGGGAAACACAAUUCUGUUUUAAGAAGAGAAAAACUAAGCUUUGGAGGCCUAGAAGGGCUUGUUUCAAGUUAUAUAGCUGGUAGAUGGCAGAACCAGAACAAUAAUCUAGGUGUUUUUUGUUUGUUUGUUUGUUUGCUUUUUUUAAGGCCACCCAUGGCAUAUGAAGGUUGCAGAUGCAGCUCAGAUCUGCUCUUGCUGUGGCUGUGGCUUAGGCUGGCAGCUGUAGCUCCGAUUGGACCCCUAGCCUGGGAACCUCCAUAUGCCAUGGGUGUAGCCCUCAAAAGACAAACAGACAAACAAAAAGUUUAAACCUUGAUUUGACCCUUAAGCUGGGGGCUGAGGUCUGCCUCCAAGCAGAUAUGCUGCCCUGCAGGGUUUGCCCUCCCCCUAGCAGUGACUGCCUGGGUGUUUGCUUUUUUUUCUUUGCAUAAGACCAUCAUGUCAGGGUCAUCUGAUCACUGUCACACCCAUGUGGACACUUCAGUUGGGAUUCUUGGUCUACUUUCUACCCUUGCCCAACUGGAAGAUACUGUUCAAAUCUCAACAUGAAUAAUAGCUAAGCCUUCAUGGUUUAUGGGAAAUAAGACUAUCUUCCAUGUAUCUACUGCUUUACAGUUUAUGAAGUGCAUGUAUUUGCAUCAUUUACUUACAGUUUGUAAGGUGCUAUGGGUCCAUAAAAAGUGUGUAAGAAUUUAUCUCUGCCUUGGAGGAGCUUCUAGUGUUUGGGAGGCUAGACCAAAAUACAUAAACUGCAGAUGAUAAUGUUCAAUGAAGUUGUUAAUUAGAUGUCAUGGAUUAAAAGUAUAGUGAUAUUUUAGAGACAAAAGCAGGGGCUUGGGGUUCGUGGUAGAGCUGCCUUCAUGGAGCAGAGGUGGAGUGGGGGGAGGUAAUGUGAGGGAGGGAGAUGGUAGUGAG